UACAGGAGGUCUCAAGCGUUUGUUCGGAUUCAUUGGGCGUAAAGGGUGCGUAGGCGGCGCGGUAAGUCGGGUGUGAAAUCUCGGAGCUUAACUCCGAAACUGCAUUCGAUACUGCCGUGCUUGAGGACUGGAGAGGAGACUGGAAUUUACGGUGUAGCGGUGAAAUGCGUAGAUAUCGUAAGGAAGACCAGUGGCGAAGG
rnacentral:rRNA from 1 species